ACGGAAGGCAGCAGUGGGGAAUCUUGCACAAUGGGGGAAACCCUGAUGCAGCAACGCCGCGUGAUUGAUGAAGGCCUUCGGGUUGUAAAGAUCUGAUCUAAGGGAGGAAACAAAUGACGGUACCUUAGGAGAAAGCCCCGGCUAACUACGUGCCAGCAGCCGCGGUAAUACGUAGGGGGCAAGCGUUAUCCGGAAUUAUUGGGCGUAAAGAGUGCGCAGGUGGUUACCUAAGCGCAAGGUUUAAUCUUGAGGCUUAACCUCAUUCUGCCUUGCGAACUGGGCUACUUGCGUGCAGGAGGGGAAAGCGGAAUUCCUAGUGUAGCGGUGAAAUGCGUAGAUAUUAGGAAGAACACCGGAGGCGAAGGCGGCUUUCUGGACUGUAACUGACACUGAGGCACGAAAGCGUGGGGAGCAAACAGGAUUAGAUACCCUGGUA
rnacentral:rRNA from 1 species